AAGGAACUCGGCAAAAUGUCCUUGUAACUUCGGAAUAAAAGGAACACACGGUAAUAAAUAAAAGAGGGGGUAGCGACUGUUUAAUAAAAACAUAAGACUUUGCUAACUAGUAAUUCGUUGUAUAAAGUCUGACACCUGCCCGGUGCUGUAAGGCGAAAUUAAAUUUUAUAUAAGUCCCAGUUAACGGCGGCCGUAACCCUGACGGUCCUAAGGUAGCAAAAUUCCUUGGCGGGUAAGUUCCGUCCUGCAUGAAUGGUGUAACGACUGCCCCACUGUCUCUAGUAUUAACUCUAUGAAAUUGAAUUAGACGUGAAGAUGCGUUAAAGUACAGCUAGACGGAGAGACCCUAUGCACCUUUACUGUUAUCUAUUUUACAAUAUAAGUUUUUAUUAUCUAGAUAUGUAGUAAUUUUAUAAAAAUGGAAAACUACUUAAUAUUAAAGUAUAUUGUAUAAUAUAAUAAUAUAUAUUACUCAGGUAGAAAGACAGUUUAGCUGGGGCGGCUACCUCCUAAAAAGUAACGGAGGUGAAUAUAUAUUUUAAAUUAUAACUACUAGAGAAGGAGGAAGGAAUUAAUUUAAAAUUGAUUAUAUUACAUACGAGUAAUAUAAGGAUAUACGUCUGUCCUAAUGACCCGAUUUUUAAUAAAUCGUUCAACGAAUAAAAGGUACGCUAGGGAUAACAGGCUAAUGAAUUCUGAGAGUACCUAUCGAAGAAUUCGUUUGGCACCUCGAUGUCGGCUCAUCAUUUCCUAGUGGAGCAUACGCUGCUAAGGGUUCGGCUGUUCGCCGAAUAAAAUGGUACGUGAGCUGGGUUUAGAACGUCGUGAGACAGUUUGGUCCCUAUCUACUGUACAUUUAAAAAAUAAAAGUAUUUUUACUUCAGUACGAGAGGACCGAGGACAGAAGAUCAAUUGUUA
rnacentral:rRNA from 1 species